UGGGGUAUAGCUCAUAUGGUAGAGCACUUGCUUCGCAUGCGAGAGGCACGGGGUUUGAUUCCCCGCACCUCUA
rnacentral:tRNA from 1 species